rnacentral:rRNA from 1 species
CCCGAGAGGGGAAAGAUUUAUCGCGAUGUAUGAUAGAGCCUACGUUAGAUUAGCUAGUUGGUGAGGUAAUGGCUUACCAAGGCUAUGAUCUAUAGCUGGUCUGAGAGGACGAUCAGCCACACUGGAACUGAGAUACGGUCCAGACUCCUACGGGAGGCAGCAGUGGGGAAUAUUGGACAAUGGGCGAAAGCCUGAUCCAGCUAUGCCGCGUGAGUGAAGAAGGCCUUCGGGUUGUAAAACUCUUUCAAUAGGGAAGAUAAUGACGGUACCUAUAGAAGAAGUCCCGGCAAACUCUGUGCCAGCAGCCGCGGUAAUACGGAGGGGGCAAGCGUUGUUCGGAAUUAUUGGGCGUAAAGGGCACGUAGGUGGACUAGUAAGUUAAAAGUGAAAUACCAAAGCUUAACUUUGGAGCGGCUUUUAAUACUGCUAGACUAGAGGUCGAAAGAGGAUAGCGGAAUUCCUAGUGUAGAGGUGAAAUUCGUAGAUAUUACGAGGAACACCAGUGGCGAAGGCGGCUAUCUGGUUCGAUACUGACACUGAGGUGCGAAAGCGUGGGGAGCAAACAGGAUUAGAUACC